AUCAAACAUGGCUACCGUGCACGUGCGGCUUUCGCGGCGUGAGAGAAUACCAGCCUGUUCUUCAUACUAAAAAAAAAAGGAAGGUGAAUACAAUGUCGUACAUCCUCACAUCUUCAGCAAGUCAUGGAGCCAACAAGCCUUUGUGUGUGAGCAUGCAUAGUCCAAGACCUCAUGAGAUACUUCCCACCAGUGAUUCAUCAACAAGUGGUCAUGUUCACCCCUGCAUGCAACGCCAGUGUGUUCAAACAAUUUUGCUGCAUAAAGUUUUCCUGAACGUAUGACAAGGCUCUUCACCUGACAGGAGUCCAGCAAAACACUAACUUGCUCAAGAAUACGCUACCAUGGAUUGUUAUGUUAGUGACAACGCUUGUGACAUCUGUAAGCUUCAAGGACUUGACCAUUUCCUUCAGUGUUUUUGGCUCCAUCCACAACCACACAUGUCGUGUACAUGUCAAAUGAGGCAAAGACUUAACUACAUGUAUGAUACGUGUAUAUGCAGAUCGAUGGACCAGACGGAGCAUGCAUUGUAAAAAGACGAAAACUUGGAGAUGAAAACUCAGAGGGUCAACCAUGGACUGCCUCGUUCAAGAGACUGCUGGAAACAAGUUACUCCCCAAUCACCGACUCAGUUCUGUCAACUCAUCAGGCUCUGCUGCCUUCAUCAUGUGGAAGUUUGCUGAUGUGUCACUCAGAAUAUUGCACAGGACAAGAGAUACUGACUAUUGAAACAAACUGUUGGUACAGUGGUGGAUGGUAGACUGUGUGAUUCAUCCAGUCAUGAAUGACUGAAACUGCUUAGUUGUGUUCCUGAUUCAUUUUGAACUCUGUGGAUAUGCAUCUUGUCUGAACAUUUUACAGACUGAACCAUACAUGUACAUGUGCACUCCAAGAAGCUACAAGCUAAUCCUGCAAGAAGUGUACUCCUACAUCUCCCGAUGCUCUCCAAAUGUUGGAUUGUGUUCCCGAAUGCUCCUGCAUUGACCUACAUUGCCAAAAACUUUUACGGCUAAAGGACUUUUGAGUGCUACAGAAAGAGCCAUCAACUAAGGAAUAUUUAAUUUAGAAAAUUGGGGUGGGAUGUAAAACAGUGGCAUAGCUUCACCUCAGCGCAAGUAAAGAUUUCAGCUUGCAGAUUUUAAUACAUGUAUUCAUUAACCAAUCUCAAAGAUGGUAAAAAAAGUUCUUGUAUAUCAAGUUCUAAGAAAGUAUGCACAAGGGUUGGUACUAGUAAUAAGCUGCUGGCUUGCAAUCAAAUUGCACAAGUGAUUUGAGCUUAAAUUCCAGAAUCGAACAUCUUUAAUUGUCUCUCAAGUUGCCUUCUUGACAUUCCAUGGACACAUUCAAAGCUAUGCCACUGAAACAGACAGAUACAUGGGUAGAGGGAUGGGACUUUGGGUUCAUAUAUCUUAAUUGCUAUACAAAGUCCAUUCUGAUUGCUUAGCUCUGAAAGGUUGGGGCAUUGUUUUUAUUAUCAAAGUGGUCUGAAAAAAGUAUGACUUUAAAGUCAACAUCUGCACACUCGGACAAAUUGAU